AAGCCAGUGUUGGUCGCCCAGGAGUUUGUGUUUUAAGUAAACAUCUCUUGAACCCGCAGCUGAGGACACAGUUAUGAAGAGUGUAUGUAUGACUGAAUGCGGCCCAUGGGACAUGCGUGGGACUGACACGUGCUUUCCUGAUGGUGUCCUCAAGGAGAAAGCCGUGCUACUCUUCCGCCUGCCUCCGCCUUGCUGCAUGCAACUCUUCAGGCCUGCAUGCUCCCAGGUCAGCUUCUUCUAAUGGUAAUGACAGUAGCAGCAAGAAAAGCUUGACUGCACAAAUGCAUUUCAAGCCUCUGCUUGUGUAUUGGUUGCUAACAUCCAGUUGGCUAAGGCCAAAGGUA